CAGUCUGCCACUCUGCCGUUCUCCAAUUCAAUCCUUAACACUUAUUUCUUCCAUAACCUUAUUUAGACAUGAGACAUUGAAUCCCUAAAAAUCUAAAAUCCCUAGCUGUUCGUUUGCGAUUUCAAGUUACACUCUCCGCUAGUUCGUUGCACUGCGACUGCCCCUGUGAUUUUCAGUCUCUGGUCUCCGCCUCCGCCCUCCGUUGCGACAGCGCCGGCGAGGCGACGAGAAGUCAAGAACUCCAACUCUGGACGAAGGGAGGUGUUUCUAGUUUUCUGAGAGGUUACCACUGUUACCAGUGAUAAGCUGCUUCGAUUCAUUUCCGGUCAUUUCUGAAUUCUGAUGAACUGUCAAGGAAUUCUACCGGCGGCCUGAUAACUGUUUUCACUUCUUCACUGGUUUUCCUUGACAAUCACAUCUAACGCUCUCUUCAAUCACUCUGUCACCGGGCACCAUCGUCAAGUAUUCUGUCGCCAAUAUAUCCAUUGAAACUGUUAAAUUUUGACAUAGAGCAACCAUAUAUUGAAGCAUGCAAACUGCUGAUCAAUCUGCCAAGAUAUACAAGCUAGCAUGAUAUCAAUCUAUCAAUGUGGUCUCCAUCAUCAACCCACACAUCAAAAGAUAGUAAGAUAAUGUAUGUCUUUCAGUUCACAAUUUUGAACCAAAGGGAGGAUGGAAGCCCCAGAGAAGAGAAAUUGAGUGAUGACCAAAUUCAUUCUCAAGUUCCAAUGGUUAAGUGAAUUUCUUUUGAAAAGAUUUGGUUGGAAUCUGAAUGAUGCUUGAGAAAAUUGUCAAUACUUCGUGGACUCUAUCACAAGGUUGGGAUAGAGUUGGUUCCAGAGAUUAUGACGUGGAAAGUUCAAAUCCAUUUUGUGAAACUGAUGUCAUCAGUUUAGUGCCUUAAUUUGUGUAAACAUGUUGUAUGCUCUUCUGCUUAUGGUCGAACCUUACUGGAGUCCUCUAAGAUUGCUCUUGACAAAGGGAAGCUGGAAGAUGCCUUGAAUUUUGUAACAAAGGCUCUUACAAAAAUGAUUGUUGUUUGUGGCCCAUAUCAUCGUACAACCGCAAGUGCCUAUAGCCUACUGGCAGUUGUUCUUUAUCACACUUGAGACUUCAAUCAGGUCUUUUGUUGCAUUCUUCUGUCGCCUUCUUCCGUUGCCUUCUUCCAAGACAGUCCGCCAUUGAUUUAGAGGAGGGUUAUUGAGUCCUUCAUUCAAAAGAAGAAUCAAUUGUAGCCACGCCAUGACUCCUCUCUAAGCCUCGCCGUCCACAACCGUCAGGACCGCCAAACGCUACCCUCCAGCCUCGCCAUCCACCGCCGACCGUCAGCCUCCGACCUCCAAAUAUGAAAUCUCCGUAAGCAAACCUCGUUUCUAACAAAUGGGAGCCAUUGGUGGGGAAUAAUCUAUGAAGUGAGACAAAAUGCAAGGAACAGGACUUGGAGAAGAAGAGAAGAUCUUGGUGGUAGUGAGGUUGAGGCCUUUGAGUGAAAAGGAGAUUUCAAGGAAUGAAGUUUCAAAUUGGGAAUGCAUCAAUGACACCACCAUUUUGUAUAGGAAUAGCCUCCAGGAGCGUUCUGGACUUCCAACUGCUUAUACAUUUGGUGAGGGAACUCCCCACUUUUUUCUUUUCAUUAAACUCAUCUUGUUCAGGAUGAGAGAUUUUGAUUGCCAAGAGGUCUGUUUAGGGGGGUUUGUAUCUGGUUUUUUAACUUGAAUUGUCACUAUUUCUUGACAGACAGAGUAUUUAGGGGUGAUUGCUCAACAAGAGAAGGACUACUCAGGGGUGUUAAUUAGAAAUGCUGACCUACAUUGCUUCUGGGAAAAAGGACUACUGGAAGAGAAGUUGAUCCUGUCACUAUUGCUCCUAUAUGUGUUCAUUUUUCUCCACCAAUGGCAUGUGUUCAGCUUUAGGAGCAACCACAAAUAUUCAAGACCUAGCGAGAAUGGAGAAAAAUUUACCAGUGAACAACAGUACCUCUCUAUGCCAUGCUUCCUGCAUCUGCUCAGCUUCGUGUAUUUGAAGAAUUGUGUUUUGAACGGUGUAUUUGAAGAAUUGUGUUUUGAACUGUCUAAGAUGAGGAACCAACUUCUUUGAAUACUAUUAAAUGUUAUUAUUUGACAAAUAAUAUUACUUACAAUUGAUUUUCUUUUUAA